rnacentral:sRNA from 1 species
CUUUGCAGCCACUCGGCCCCUGGGGCUGCCCCGUGUGCUGGCCCCACCCCCGGAGGAGGUCCAAAAGGCCAAGACCCCGACGCCAGAGCCCUUUGACUCUGAGACCAGAAAGGUCAUCCAGAUGCAGUGCAACCUGGAGAGAAGCGAGGACAAGGCGCGCUGGCAUGUGAGCGGGGCCUGGGAGGGCGGCGCUGCCGUGGGGAAGGCGGGAGCGUGGCGGAGCCCUGAACCCCCAGCCGACCACGCCCCGCCGCCUCCCCAGCUCACUCUGCUUCUGGUGCUGGAAGACCGGCUGCACCGGCAGCUGACCUACGACCUGCUCCCAAGUAGGCUGGGCAGGGGACUUGGGCGGCGGGCGGUGACCCCAGGCGGCGGGUGGCGCAGCGGCCUCAUGCCUCGCCUUACGCCAUUGCCUCAGCGGACAGCGCCCAGGACCUCGCCUCGGAGCUCGUGCACUAUGGCUUCCUCCACGAGGUGCGCUGGGCGGUGCGGCGCGGCCUGGCGGAGGGGGCGCACGGGGCAGGCCGCGCCCCUCCGUCCCCCAUGCCUCCCUCCUUCCGCAGGACGACCGGAUGAAGCUGGCCGCCUUCCUGGAGAGCACCUUCCUCAAGUACCGUGGGACCCAGGCCUGACCCGGAGCCCCAGCCCCAGGGGACCAUGCCGGGGUGCUGCCCGGGCAGGCCAUGUUGGGGAGACCCCAGCACCGUGGGGCUGCCCUCCUCCAUGCGCCUGGGAGCACAAAGGCCCCGGUAGUGAAGGAACCCCCGCCUCCUGAGAGUGGGGCUGACCCUGCCUCGGGCGCCGAGGGGUUGGGGGGUGGGUGUGGGGGAGCCGUUAGGCCUCCCAGGUCCUUAGGAUCAGGGUUGCCCCCAGAACCCCUUCCCAUAUCCUCCAUUCUCCGCCCUGAGUUCCUACCCAGGCUGCCUGGCCAGGGCCACUGCCUCCUCAGCAUGCAGGAGGCUGCCCUGUAGGGAACCCCAGCUCUGGGGCUUGGGGGUGAGGGUCAGCCCUGGACAGACCUCUGCCCAGGGAACUGCUCCAUGGGGUCUGGGAGAGCAGCCAUCCCCGGCUGGCACCAUAGACCCACACAAGGAGCCUGCACAGCAAGCCAGCGGUGACACACCUGCAGGUGUCAGGCAUGGCACUGGGCACAACAGGGACCUGGCAGGAGAAACAGACCACAGAGAGGUCUGGAGUUGAGGCUGUCGUCAGCAAAGCCCCUGGUCCCACACAGCUCUGCCCUAGAGCCACCUCUUUGACCCUUUACCCACCCUGAGACCAGAACCUGCAGCCCCUCUGCAGAUCUCCUCUGGCCACUGCAGCCCCUCCAAUGGGCUUUUUCUCUCAUGCAUUCCCUGGCCUGGAGGCGUCAGGGACCCCACAUCCUCCCUGCUCCUCAGACUCACACCCCCUCCAUGUUACCUCCCGCACCUCCUCCCUGGGGCAGCUGCUCCCUGGGCCUCUGAGGAUGUCAGCUCCUGGCUCCCUGCCUCUCUCCCACUCCACUCCUGGCUCAGUCUUAGAGAUUUCUAUGCCCUCAUGGAUUCUACCCCUGCCUUCCUAGCCUCUUGAUUCUUGGCUUGCCUCUCCUCCAAUUCCAAACUUAGUGAAAUGGCCUUAAGCAUUUUAAACUGUAUGUAUAAAUUUAGUGCAUUCAUGCCUUUUUAAAAGCAUUUCAAAUGUCAACCAGGAAGGCACACCACUGUAUUAGUUUUAUACUGCCGCUGUAAAAUUUACCACAAACUUAGUGACUUAACACAAAUUUAUUGCAAUUCUGUAGGAUGGAAGUCUGACUAUGGGGUCUCACUGGACUAGAAUCAAGGCUGGCAGGCUGCCUUCCUUCCUGGAGGUUCUAGGGGAGACUCUGUCUCCUGCUCCUUCAGGCUGCUGGCAGAAUCCACAUCCUUUCGGUGGCAGGGCCAAGGUCCCCACUUUCUUGCUGACUGUAAACUAAGGCCACUUCCAGCUUGUAGAGGCUGCCUACAUUCCUUGGCUCUUGGCCCCCUCCUCCAUCUUCAAAGCUAGCAGGUUCAGUCUGUGUCACGAACCACUUUCUCUGGUUCUCUGCAGACAGGAAAGGUUGUCCCUAAGGACUCAUGAGAUUAGGUUGGGCCCAGCCAGAUAAUACAUGAUAAUCUCCCUCCUCAAGGUUUUUUAAUAUUAAACACAUCUGCAGGACACAUUUUGCCAUGUAAACUAACAUUCACUGGUUCCAGGGAUUAAGGAAUGAACCUCUUGUUGGGGAAGGGUGGCAUUCUGCUGACCACAGCACUCCAACCAAAAGCCAAAAACCAAAGCAAGACUUAACUAACGCAUAUCAAAUAAAUUAAAUGCACAAAAUCGUGAAUCUGUUAUCUUAAAUAUUCCAAUACUAUUUACAAAAUUAUUCAAAUUCUCACGCCUUCCAACUCAAAAUUAGCAAUCUAAAGUAAUUUCCAUAUCCUAGCUGGAAACCCUCAUGCUAAACUGUCUGAUUAUGCAUGGUUCUAAAUGGUUUCAGUGGCAAAUACAUAACAUUGUACUACUGAUUAAACUGAACUUAAAAGC